rnacentral:rRNA from 1 species
UACAGAGGUCUCAAGCGUUGUUCGGAUUCAUUGGGCGUAAAGGGUGUGUAGGUGGCGCCGUAAGUCGGGUGUGAAAUUUCGGAGCUUAACUCCGAAACUGCAUUCGAUACUGCCGUGCUUGAGGACUGGAGAGGAGACUGGAAUUUACGGUGUAGCGGUGAAAUGCGUAGAUAUCGUAAGGAAGACCAGUGGCGAAGGCAGCUCGCUGGGACGUUACUGACGCUGAGACGCGAAAGCGUGGGGAGCAAACAGG